UCCCUGGUAGUCUCAGUGGUAGAGCGUCCGACCGGUGUGCGGAAGGUUUCAUCAGGUUAGACUCCUGUUGGGGGAA